UCUGCUAUAUUUCAUUUCAUUCAUUCUUUUUGAGAAACUGAAAACAAAGGGAAAUUGAGGGUAACUUGAAGAUUAUUUCCAACCAGUAUCUGAGUCUUGCAGUAUCUCAUUAUGCAGCCCUUUCUUUUACAGUUCGUACACCUUGACAAUCAAGAUAGUCUGAAGUACAAAAAGUAAAUUGUCCUUUAGCUGAAUUACCUUUUUAAAUAUCAGACCUGCUAGCUAAUCUACAAAAAAUUACAAGUUUCGGUGUUCUUCAAAUACCUUUUGUAGAUGUCAUCUGCUAGUA
rnacentral:lncRNA from 1 species